rnacentral:lncRNA from 1 species
UAUAAAAGCGCGCGGCGAGCGGUGCUUCGGCCAUUUUGCGCGCGGCGCUGAGCGGGUGAGGUGUUUGCUGCCUUCGGGUNCCCCGCCCCAAAAUGGCUCCUCUCAGACACCUGCGGGACGCCGGCGUUCACCCAGGUUCGUUUUUGCCCAUUUCUGUGUUUUUUUGGGGGGAGUUUUGGGGUUUUUUGGGGCCGCUCGGUGAUGAGCAGCACGACAAGCAUAUGGCUGAGCUCCGUGAUGCCUCUGCGUGCUGAGGGCGGCCGCCCUCAUUAAUGCCGGUAGUAAUUAACGGCGCCGAGAGCCCGGAUGGGUCGGGGCCUUAGUAAUUCCUAAUUAGCGAGCUAAUGGGGGCUCUGAGAUCGGGAGUAGGGAGCCAUUAUUAAUCCCUAAUUAAUGAGCUAUUAGGAGUUCUGGGAUUGGGUAAUGGGGGUUCUCAGAUUGGGGGUAAGGAGCCAUUACUAAUCCCUAAUUAAUGAGCUAUUAGGGGUUCAGAGUCUGCCCCCCC